GUUUAAAGAGAAUCGUAUAACUAGCGAAUAUUUGAGGGAGCACUGUAGAAAACACGAUCUUUACAUGACUCCCAGAUUCAACACGGUCCUCUAUCUGCAUAAUAAGGGGUUCCAUGAGAUAGAAAACCUGGAUGAAUAUGUUGGACUGAAAUGUUUGUGGCUUGAAAACAAUUGUAUAACAGUAAUUAAGGGACUCGAGCACUUGGUUCGGAUAAAAUGCCUCUUUCUACACGAUAACAGG